rnacentral:rRNA from 1 species
UGGGGAAUAUUGGACAAUGGGCGCAAGCCUGAUCCAGCCAUGCCGCGUGAGUGACGAAGGCCUUAGGGUUGUAAAGCUCUUUUGGCGGGGAAGAUAAUGACGGUACCCGCAGAAUAAGCUCCGGCUAACUUCGUGCCAGCAGCCGCGGUAAUACGAAGGGAGCUAGCGUUGUUCGGAAUCACUGGGCGUAAAGCGCACGUAGGCGGAUAGUUAAGUCAGGGGGUGAAAUCCUGGGGCUCAACCCCAGAACUGCCUUUGAUACUGGCUGUCUCGAGGUCGAGAGAGGUUGGUGGAAUUCCUAGUGUAGAGGUGAAAUUCGUAGAUAUUAGGAAGAACACCAGUGGCGAAGGCGGCCAACUGGCUCGAUACUGACGCUGAGGUGCGAAAGCGUGGGGAGCAAACAGGAUUAGAUACCCCUGUAGUCCCUGAGCGGGCUGGCAAGGCGCAU